rnacentral:rRNA from 1 species
GGUAUUUAACCAGAAAGCCACGGCUMACUACGUGCCAGCAGCCGCGGUAAUACGUAGGUGGCAAGCGUUGUCCGGAUUUAUUGGGCGUAAAGCGAGCGCAGGCGGUUUUUUAAGUCUGAUGUGAAAGCCUUCGGCUCAACCGAAGAAGUGCAUCGGAAACUGGGAAACUUGAGUGCAGAAGAGGACAGUGGAACUCCAUGUGUAGCGGUGAAAUGCGUAGAUAUAUGGAAGAACACCAGUGGCGAAGGCGGCUGUCUGGUCUGUAACUGACGCUGAGGCUCGAAAGUAUGGGUAGCAAACAGGAUUAGAUACCCUGGUAGUCCAUACCGUAAACGAUGAAUGCUAAGUGUUGGAGGGUUUCCGCCCUUCAGUGCUGCAGCUAACGCAUUAAGCAUUCCG